UAGGGAAUCUUCCACAAUGGACGAAAGUCUGAUGGAGCAACGCCGCGUGAGUGAAGAAGGGUUUCGGCUCGUAAAACUCUGUUGUUAAAGAAGAACAUAUCUGAGAGUAACUGUUCAGGUAUUGACGGUAUUUAACCAGAAAGCCACGGCUAACUACGNGCAG
rnacentral:rRNA from 1 species